GCGAUCGUAGCUCAGUUGGUUAGAGCGCCCGCCUGUCACGCGGGAGGUCGGCGGUUCGAGUCCGCUCGGUCGCG
rnacentral:tRNA from 1 species